rnacentral:misc_RNA from 1 species
AGAAGUGAGCUUUGUUUGUUGAAGGUUGGUUAGUAAUGGGAAGUUGUUUGUUUCUUCUUAAUCUUUUCAAAAUAGGAUAUGGAAUUGAUAUCAAUUUUUGCUUGGUACUAUAUUCCUGGAUUUGUUGUGCACUCUAUCUGUUAGAGGGUAAGGCAGGUGAUGUGAAGUUGUGAACACUUAACCUUGUUUGGGAAAGGAAUGAAAUGGGAGAAUAAAGUGAUGUUAACACUUAGUUUGUGAAUGGAAUGGGAAAAGGAUGAGAAUAUUAUUUGAGGUUUUCCCAUUGCUUUUAUGUCAGAAUUUUAAAAAUCCUUAUCCACCUAUUUGGCAAGGGAGGUAAAGUGAGUUUGGCUUUAGUGAAACAUUUUAUUUUAUUUAAUCAAUUUCUGCCUUCCUUUUUCUUUGAGAACCCAAGAUUCCCUUUUUCUCAUAAACUCAUAUUUCU